UACGUAGGUGGCAAGCGUUGUCCGGAUUUACUGGGCGUAAAGAGCGCGCAGGCGGUCGUUCAAGUCGCGUGUGAAAGCCCCCGGCUCAACUGGGGAGGGUCACGCGAUACUGAUCGACUCGAAGGCAGGAGAGGGUAGUGGAAUUCCCGGUGUAGUGGUGAAAUGCGUAGAUAUCGGGAGGAACACCAGUGGCGAAGGCGACUACCUGGACUGUUCUUGACGCUGAGGCGCGAAAGCUAGGGGAGCAAACGGG
rnacentral:rRNA from 1 species